GGAUGUGACUGUAUUUGUUGCAGUAAUGGUGUUGUUAUGUGUUUGUAGAGAGGAAAAUGCCAAGCGGAGAGGAAAAAAAGAGAGAUCAGCUGCAGGUGGGACUGAAGCAAGUAAAAAGAUGCCCUUACACAGCAGAUAGGGAGAGCCGCUGUCACUCAAUUCACUUUUGCCCAGGCUGUGCAAAAGUGGCCACGCUAUGUGCCAGACCGGGCAUGAGGGAAUGGACGACUAACCAGUCAGACGUCAGAGGACAGCUGUAAAUAUGCUAAAGAGGACAAAUACUGAAUUUUGUUUUACCUU